rnacentral:lncRNA from 1 species
ACCUGGGGACACCUGUGGGCAGGUGAGGGACAGGUGAGGAUGGGUCCAGGUGAGUUUGGAGCUGCUCAGAGCAGGGAUUGCAGGUCCUGGCAGGGUUAACCUGUUGUCCCUGCAGGUCCUGGCAGGGCUGGAGCUCAGGGUUAACCCCAGGUCCUGGCAGGGCCGUAGCUCAGGGUUAACCCCUGUGUCCCCAGGUGCUCACAGGUCCUGGCAGGGCCAGAGCUCAGGGUUAACCCCAGGUCCUGGCAGGGCCGUAGCUCAGGGUUAACCCCAGGUCCUGGCAGGGCCAUAGCUCAGGGUUAACCCCAGGUCCUGGCAGGGCCGGAGUUCAGGGUUAACCCCAGGUCCUGGCAGGGCCAUAGCUCAGGGUUAACCCCAGGUCCUGGCAGGGCCAUAGCUCAGGGUUUCUCCCCCAGGUCCUGGCAGGGCUGGAGCUCAGGGUUAACCCCAGGUCCUGGCAGGGCCAUAGCUCAGGGUUAACCCCAGGUCCUGGCAGGGCCGGAGCUCAGGGUUAGCCCCAGGUCCUGGCAGGGCCAUAGCUCAGGGUUUCUCCCCCAGGUCCUGGCAGGGCCAUAGCUCAGGGUUAACCCCUGUGUCCCCAGGUGCUCACAGGUCCUGGCAGGGCCGGAGCUCAGGGUUAACCCCAGGUCCUGGCAGGGCCAUAGCUCAGGGUUAACCCCAGGUCCUGGCAGGGCCAUAGCUCAGGGUUAACCCCAGGUCCUGGCAGGGCUGGAGCUCAGGGUUACCCCAGGUCCUGGCAGGGCCAUAGCUCAGGGUUAACCCCAGGUCCUGGCAGGGCCGUAGCUCAGGGUUAACCCCAGGUCCUGGCAGGGCCAUAGCUCAGGGUUAACCCCUGUGUCCCCACAGGCGAGUUCGUGGCCCAGUUCAAGUUCACGGUGCUGCUGAUGCCCAACGGCCCCAUGAGGAUCACGAGCGGCCCCUUCGAGCCCGAGCUCUACAAAUCCGACCUGGAGGUGCAGGACGGGGAGCUCAAGGCCCUUCUACAAAGCUCCGCCAGCCGCAAGACCCAGAAAAAGAAGAAAAAGAAGGUAAAAUCCACCCUUUUUUUACAUUCUGAAUUCCCAGAUUUGGAAUUCCGGGGUUUCUCCACCUGAAGAACCCCAAAAAAUCCCUGGAUUUGUCCCCACAGGCUUCCAAAAACGCGGAAAACGCCACCACGGGGGAGACGGCGGAGGAGAACGAGGCCGGCGACUGAGAAAUCGCUUUGGAGUUCUCAAAUCGCUCCUUUUUUCCCCAAAAAAACAAACAAACAAACAAAAAAAAUCCCCACAAAAAAACAAAAUUCCAUCCGGAAACGAAAUAAUCUGGCGUUGGUCCGGACAUAAAUUCCAGUCUGGAAUUCCCACAGAAUCCCAACAGCUCCCGUUGAUUUUGCCAAGGAGGGAGGAAUCUCUCGGUCACUUCAGAUUUUUAAAAGCGAAAAAAUAAUAAUAAUAAUAAUAAUAAUAAUAAAAAACAUCCCCAAAAGAGCA